AGAUCAUACCUAGAGUUGCGGGCUUUGCCUGCUAUCUCUUACCCAUGUCUUUUGAGUACCUUCGUUUCCUCGGCGGGUUCGCCCGCCGAUUGGACAAUUUAAACCAUUUGCAGUUGCAAUCAGCGUCUGAAAAAACUUAAUAGUUACAACUUUCAACAACGGAUCUCUUGGUUCUGGCAUCGAUGAAGAACGCAGCGAAAUGCGAUAAGUAGUGUGAAUUGCAGAAUUCAGUGAAUCAUCGAAUCUUUGAACGCACAUUGCGCCCCUUGGUAUUCCAUGGGGCAUGCCUGUUCGAGCGUCAUUUGUACCUUCAAGCUCUGCUUGGUGUUGGGUGUUUGUCUCGCCUCUGCGCGCAGACUCGCCUCAAAACAAUUGGCAGCCGGCGUAUUGAUUUCGGAGCGCAGUACAUCUCGCGCUUUGCACUCAUAACGACGACGUCCAAAAGUACAUUUUUACACUCUUGACCUCGGAUCAGGUAGGGAUACCCGCUGAACUAAGC
rnacentral:rRNA from 1 species